UCGUCCAGACAGACAAACCCAUCUACAAACCUGGACAGACCGUUCAAUUCCGCAUUGUCUCCAUGGACACCAGCUUCCUCCCCGUCAAUCGCACGUACACCGAAGUGACAAUUGAGGUAAGCC